rnacentral:rRNA from 1 species
GGUUAAGCGACUAAGCGUACACGGUGGAUGCCCCCGGCAGUCAGAGGCGAUGAAGGACGUGCUAAUCUGCGAAAAGCGUCGGUAAGGUGAUAUGAACCGUUAUAACCGGCGAUGUCCGAAUGGGGAAACCCAGUGCAAUUCGUUGCACUAUCGUUAACUGAAUACAUAGGUUAACGAGGCGAACCGGGGAACUGAAACAUCUAAGUACCCCGAGGAAAAGAAAUCAACCGAGAUUCCCCCCAGUAGCGGCGAGCGAACGGGGAGCAGCCCAGAGUCUGAAUCAGCUUGUGUGUUAGUGGAACGGUCUGGAAAGUCCGACGGUACAGGGUGAUAGUCCCGUACACCAAAAUGCACAGGUUGUGAACUCGAAGAGUAGGGCGGGACACGUGGUAUCCUGUCUGAAUAUGGGGGACCAUCCUCCAAGGCUAAAUACUCCUGACUGACCGAUAGUGAACCAGUACCGUGAGGGAAAGGCGAAAAGAACCCCGGCGAGGGGAGUGAAAAAGAACCUGAAACCGUGUACGUACAAGCAGUGGGAGCACCUUCGGGUGUGACUGCGUACCUUUGUAUAAUGGGUCAGCGACUUAUAUUCUGUAGCAAGGUUAACCGUAUAGGGGAGCCGCAGGGAAACCGAGUCUUAACUGGGCGUUAAGUUGCAGGGUAUAGACCCGAAACCCGGUGAUCUAGCCAUGGGCAGGUUGAAGGUUGGGUAACACUAACUGGAGGACCGAACCGACUAAUGUUGAAAAAUUAGCGGAUGACUUGUGGCUGGGGGUGAAAGGCCAAUCAAACCGGGAGAUAGCUGGUUCUCCCCGAAAGCUAUUUAGGUAGCGCCUCGUGAACUCAUCUUCGGGGGUAGAGCACUGUUUCGGCUAGGGGUCAUCCCGACUUACCAACCCGAUGCAAACUACGAAUACCGAAGAAUGUUAUCACGGGAGACACACGGCGGGUGCUAACGUCCGUCGUGAAGAGGGAAACAACCCAGACCGCCAGCUAAGGUCCCAAAGUCAUGGUUAAGUGGGAAACGAUGUGGGAAGGCACAGACAGCCGAGGAUGUUGGCUUAGAAGCAGCCAUCAUUUAAAGAAAGCGUAAUAGCUCACUGGUCGAGUCGGCCUGCGCGGAAGAUGUAACGGGGCUAAACCAUGCACCGAAGCUGCGGCAGCGACACUAUGUGUUGUUGGGUAGGGGAGCGUUCUGUAAGCCUGCGAAGGUGUGCUGUGAGGCAUGCUGGAGGUAUCAGAAGUGCGAAUGCUGACAUAAGUAACGAUAAAGCGGGUGAAAAGCCCGCUCGCCGGAAGACCAAGGGUUCCUGUCCAACGUUAAUCGGGGCAGGGUGAGUCGACCCCUAAGGCGAGGCCGAAAGGCGUAGUCGAUGGGAAACAGGUUAAUAUUCCUGUACUUGGUGUUACUGCGAAGGGGGGACGGAGAAGGCUAUGUUAGCCGGGCGACGGUUGUCCCGGUUUAAGCAUGUAGGCUGAUUGUCCGAGGCAAAUCCGGAUAAUCAAGGCUGAGGUGUGAUGACGAGGCACUACGGUGCUGAAGUAACAAAUGCCCUGCUUCCGAGGAAAAGCCUCUAAGCAUCAGGUAACAUUAAAUCGUACCCCAAACCGACACAGGUGGUCAGGUAGAGAAUACCAAGGCGCUUGAGAGAACUCGGGUGAAGGAACUAGGCAAAAUGGUGCCGUAACUUCGGGAGAAGGCACGCUGGUGUGUAGGUGAAGUCCCUGCGGAUGGAGCUGAGACCAGUCGAAGAUACCAGCUGGCUGCAACUGUUUAUUAAAAACACAGCACUGUGCAAACACGAAAGUGGACGUAUACGGUGUGACGCCUGCCCGGUGCCGGAAGGUUAAUUGAUGGGGUUAUCCGUAAGGAGAAGCUCUUGAUCGAAGCCCCGGUAAACGGCGGCCGUAACUAUAACGGUCCUAAGGUAGCGAAAUUCCUUGUCGGGUAAGUUCCGACCUGCACGAAUGGCGUAAUGAUGGCCGGGCUGUCUCCACCCGAGACUCAGUGAAAUUGAACUCGCUGUGAAGAUGCAGUGUACCCGCGGCAAGACGGAAAGACCCCGUGAACCUUUACUAUAGCUUGACACUGAACAUUGAGCCUUGAUGUGUAGGAUAGGUGGGAGGCUUUGAAGCGUGGACGCCAGUCUGCGUGGAGCCAACCUUGAAAUACCACCCUUUAAUGUUUGAUGUUCUAACGUUGGCCCCUGACCGGGGUUGCGGACAGUGUCUGGUGGGUAGUUUGACUGGGGCGGUCUCCUCCCAAAGCGUAACGGAGGAGCACGAAGGUUAGCUAAUCCCCGGUCGGACAUCAGGAGGUUAGUGCAAUGGCAUAAGCUAGCUUGACUGCGAGCGUGACGGCGCGAGCAGGUGCGAAAAAGCAGGUCAUAGUGAUCCGGUGGUUCUGAAUGGAAGGGCCAUCGCUCAACGGAUAAAAGGUACUCCGGGGAUAACAGGCUGAUACCGCCCAAGAGUUCAUAUCGACGGCGGUGUUUGGCACCUCGAUGUCGGCUCAUCACAUCCUCGGGGCUGAAGUAGGUCCCAAGGGUAUGGCUGUUCGCCAUUUAAAGUGGUACGCGAGCUGGGUUUAGAACGUCGUGAGACAGUUCGGUCCCUAUCUGCCGUGGGCGCUGGAGAAUUGAGGGGGCUGCUCCUAGUACGAGAGGACCGGAGUGGACGCAUCACUGGUGUUCGGGUUGUCAUGCCAAUGGCACUGCCCGGUAGCUAAAUGCGGAAGAGAUAAGUGCUGAAAGCAUCUAAGCACGAAACUUGCCCCGAGAUGAGUUCUCCCUGAGACUUUAAGUCUCCUGAAGGAACGUUGAAGACGACGACGUUGAUAGGCCGGGUGUGUAAGCGCAGCGAUGCGUUGAGCUAACCGGUACUAAUGAACCGUGAGGCUUAACCUU